rnacentral:rRNA from 1 species
GACGAACGCUGGCGGCAGGCCUAAUACAUGCAAGUCGAACGCCUGUAGCAAUACAGGAGUGGCAGACGGGUGAGUAACGCGUGGGAAUCUACCCAGUGGUACGGAAUAACCCAGGGAAACUUGGGCUAAUACCGUAUGAGCCCGAAAGGGGAAAGAUUUAUCGCUGAAAGAUCGGCCCGCGUCUGAUUAGCUAGUUGGUGAGGUAAUGGCUCACCAAGGCUACGAUCAGUAGCUGGUCUGAGAGGAUGAUCAGCCUCACUGGGACUGAGACACGGCCCAGACUCCUACGGGAGGCUG